rnacentral:rRNA from 1 species
UACGUAGGGGGCAAGCGUUGUCCGGAUUUAUUGGGCGUAAAGAGCGUGUAGGCGGUUAGGUAGGUCCGUUGUGAAAACUCGAGGCUCAACCUCGAGACGCCGAUGGAAACCCCCUAACUAGAGUCCGGAAGAGGAGAGUGGAAUUCCUGGUGUAGCGGUGAAAUGCGCAGAUAUCAGGAAGAACACCCGUGGCUAAGGCGGCUCUCUAGUACGGUACUGACGCUGAGGUGCGAAAGCGUGGGGAGCAAACAGG